rnacentral:rRNA from 1 species
GUGGGGAAUAUUGGACAAUGGGCGAAAGCCUGAUUCAGCCAUGCCGCGUGUGUGAAGAAGGUCUUCGGAUUGUAAAGCACUUUAAGUUGGGAGGAAGGGCAGUAAGUUAAUACCUUGCUGUUUUGACGUUACCGACAGAAUAAGCACCGGCUAACUUCGUGCCAGCAGCCGCGGUAAUACGAAGGGUGCAAGCGUUAAUCGGAAUUACUGGGCGUAAAGCGCGCGUAGGUGGUUUUGUGAGUUGGAGGUUAAAUCCCCGGGCUCAACCUGGGAACUGCCUCCAAAACUACUGGGCUAGAGUACGGUAGAGGGUAGUGGAAUUUCCUGUGUAGCGGUGAAAUGCGUAGAUAUAGGAAGGAACACCAGUGGCGAAGGCGACUACCUGGACUGAUACUGACACUGAGGUGCGAAAGCGUGGGGAGCAAACAGGAUUAGAAACCCCAGUAGUCC